AAAGAAUAGUCUCCUAAAUUAGAUGGCAGCAGAAUCUAAUUUAGAUGGGAUAAGAUGUGUGUGUGUGUGUGUGUGUGUGUGUGUGUGUGUGGGUGUAUAUAUACACACACACAUAUAUAUACACACACACACGCAUACAUACACGUGCAAGGCAUCUGUUAGGAGCUGACACUUAAAAUAAGGCCAGAGAGAGUGGAUCGGUUUUAUAAGGGAAGAGGGGAGUAGGAUCUUGCAUGUUAGGACAGGGGGCACAGCAUAAGUGAAGGUCUCAAGGUAGUUAAGUGAUUGCCACGUGAAAAGUGUUACAGGCCAGAGGAAGAAGCAAACACAGCAGUUGCUGGGUCAGCUGGACCUUGUAAGCUGGGGCGAAGCAUGUUGGAAACCAUUAGAUUUAAAUGAAUGUGGGUUUGUGUAUGUGUAGGAGGCAACAUCAUAUCCAAUAAUAAAAAAAUGUGAACCAUUUUUUGAGCGAGUGUAGGGAUUGGACGAGCUGAGGCAGGGUCAGAGAGAAACAAACCACGCAGCUGUUGCUGGCAUGAAGGGGUACAAUGACAGUGUCUUGCUUGGACCAGGGUAGUGGUAGUGGAAGUAGAUGUAUUACUCUGCUCAGUCCUGUGGGUACUGAAGUAGUUAACAUGAGGUCUAUGUCAAGCCUCGAUUAAGUGAUAGCUCAAUACACAUAGUCGGUUUUAUGGAAUGCAGCUGGGAAGAGGUAAACCCAGGCUGUAGCGGCAGAGAAGGUGAUGUGUCUGCCUAAGGAACAUGAAGCUAAGCCUCACAGAACAUCAGGGCUAAACAAAUCAUUUGGGUUUCCCUACUUAAUCUGGUUAAGCUCUGUGGCCUCUGUUUUAUAAUCUGUAAAAUAGGAAUCAACAUGCUACAUCAAAAGGAUAGCCUGAGGGGUAAGUGAAUAUAUUUUUCAAAGCACAUUAUAAGUGGACUUUAAGAAGUGAUGGUGUAUUUCUGUUAUUUCAUACAUCCUGUGUCAAACUUGAAUAUACGUCAAAAUCACCUGUAAUGCUAGCUUAAAAAUGCAGAUUUCCAGGCCAUGAAGCACUGUGAUUCUGAUUCCAUGGAUUUGGUGUAGGGCCCAAGCAUGCAUUUGUAGUAAGCACUUGUGGGUGAUUCAGACACAAGUGACUUAAGUGCUUCAUAUGAUUCCAUGAAGAACUGGACACAAGAGGAAACUGGACAUCAAAGACAUGCAGUAAAACACUGCUGGAGGUCACAUCACCAAGCAACGGACUGAAUAAAACAGGAGACUGGGAUUGACAGCACUGUCAGCGACAUCAUCAGGUGAACACUGACGGAACCUGGAGGGUGAAGGGCUUGUCCACACUCAGCUAAAAAUAACCAUGGCCCUGAUUUGUGUCUCUCCAUUAAGAUACAUUUGCAUGAAAUUGUCCAUAUUUUUCUGAUCCUCCUCUUUUAGGGCUAACAAUAUAGGUUACUUGCCAUGGUCAGGGCUGAAGUCUCGGAGAACAACCCUUAACUAUGCUCUAUGCUCAAUUGUGGAAUUUCUCAAUCUCAGCAGUACUGAGAUUUGGGCUGGAUAAUCAUUUGUGGUAGGGGCUAUCAUCCUGUACAUUAUAAACAUAGGAUGUUUAGCAGCAUUUCUGGCCUCUACUUCACUAAAUGCCAGUAGCAGCCCCCAAAAUGCAACAAAAUGUUGUGAGAUUUCCAAAUGUUUCCUGGUGGGUAAAAUUCCCCUAGGUGAGAACCUGGAUAAAUAGUACAGAUUCCCAGUCCUAUUCUGUGACAUUUUUUUGUUGAGUGCCCAUUUUUUUUUGAGAGUCUAGAGGGCUCCUCUUGAACCUAAUGUAAGUAGUUUAUCCUUAACUGAUUUUACAGCUCUUCUUCCAUACCCCAGUCAAUCUUUGCUCUCCACAGAUUCAAGUCCUCCAUGAUUGGGCACAGAAACUGAGACUCAUUUCUUGCAUAGUUCUAGACCUGGAAGAUAAAAACUUGCAGUUCCAUUCAUUUGUAGAUGUCUAGUCUCUUUUUUAGGGCUGAUAAAUACUUGCAAAGCCAUAACUUCUGGGAUGAUUUUAUACGUAGUUUUCCAGGAACUGGCCCUGCAAUAUGUAUAAAUUGUCUCUAGAUGGUGACAGAGAAUCAUGAGCCCAUGCUCCAGUCUUGGAGUUAUAAACUGCAAAGUAGCUUUUAAGUUACUUGGGAAUGUCAGUCUUACCUGAUUUUAAAAUGAUAAAUCUAGGACACUACAAUGGCUAUCUGAAGUUUGCAAUAAACUAAUGGGGAUAUGGGGGGGCAGAGCUCAUCGCUGAUGUGUUGUAUUCUGUCAGACGUAGCCCAGAAUAUGCCACGUAACAGACAUUCAUAAAUGUUUGUAAGAGGAGCAGAGGGAGGGAGGGAGGGAGGGAGGAAUGGGGGGAAAUUUGAGAUAGAGAGAUCACAGUGUUUCACUCUUAACCACGAAAAAUAUUCCUCCUUUCUCUUCCUUUAAAAUCAAUGGUACAGUUCUAGGCAUUGAUUUUCUUUUUCUACUGACAUAAGCUUUUUUAUUUUUUUAUUUUUAUUUUUAUUUUUAUUUUUUUUGCCAAAUAACAUUAAGAUACUUGCCUCCUCCUAGACAGAUCAAAAAAUAAAUGGCAAACCACGUUGCUUACUCACUUUCCUUUGUCCCUGGAUUCAUGAAGAUGCAAACAUCCCUUCCAUGGAAAGUAAGAAACACUUACUGCCUCUUCCGGUGCAGUUGACUUUCUGUGCUAUGACUGACUAACUCCUUAUUUGCUCCUCUCCUUUUCCGUCAGCGAGUAGAGGGAAACUCUUCCUCCUCUAGCUGCUCAAAGCUGCAUCAAACAGUGGGCUGGGUCUUACUGAACGGGUGUCCAGUACUUUCCUGUAGAAAACAUUUUGAUGUCCAAAGAGAUAGAUGUCCAUAGUCACACAUCUAAACCUAGAAGAGGGUAAAAUAGAACACAAGGCUUAACUUAUUUCAACACAGUAGCCAAAAGGAAAAGAGAGAGAUGGAAAUGGAUUUACCUCCUUGAAGGCCUAAGACCUAAGGGCUACUUUCUGGUCAAUGUCUCAGAAAUGCAGUCCAGUUAGCAACCCAGACCUCAAAAACAAUGGGGAGGAGAGAGAGGAGGUGAAAGAGAACAGAGCAGCAGGUCCUAACUGUUUUCCCUCCAGAGAUAACCAUCCAGAAAGAUAAAGAGUUUAUUUUGCCACACAAAGAAUGAAAUUCAAACGAGUGACAGGAAACAAACUUCUGUUUACUUAUUAGCAACAAUACAGGAAGCAGAACCCCUUAGUUUAAAUAGUUUUAUAAAUAGAUCCAUCAUCACACACAAUUUAGCAAUUACCAACUGCUCUCCUUCACCUGCUAUUUAUUCUUCUGCUUAACUUUCUGAGGACGUUGGUAUCCAUUUCUUCCCUUUAAAACCUGUGCUUGUCUGACUUAUCUAUCUGAUAAGGUUUUCUCUGCUCAUCUCAUUUUCUCUGUUUCUUUGUACUCUGGCUGCAUGGGCUUGCUUUCUUUGGUCUAUUUUUAGUCGUUUCCCAAGCCCUACUAUUAAAAGUAGCAUGCUUGCCAGAGGCUGAAGAGGUAGAAUUAGAACUAGACUUCUAAUUUCCACAAGUGAACUGGAGGCCAAGUUCUGACCUCUCUGCACAGUGAACAGUGGUAUAUAUUCUUUGUAAAAGCUCUGGAAAAUAUCAGGCUGCCUAAGAAAGGCAAAUAACUUUUGUUUACAUGGAGUAUUUUCUCCUUCUUUUCCACUAUCAUGAGCCCAUCAUGAACAAGCUCAGAUGUCUGCCCCAACGAUUCUCAAACUCUCAUCUCUAACACCAUCUUGGCCCCACUAAGCCUUUGUCCUGGAACAGCAAGGAUUGGGUACUACUGCUAAUCAAGAACACCCAGAACAUGGUUAGAAAUACACAUUCUUGGGCAUCCCUAUAAGUAUUUCCAUUAAGUGGGUCAGGAUUUCUGAUGUAACUAAAUAUUAUCACAAACCAAGAAUUAUGACCCACAGUACUUGCACUUGAAUGCCAGCAACACCUCCUAGUCAAUAGGACUUAAAGCUUUUGGAUGCUUUUGACUCAUUUCUUAUUCGUGGAGGAAGCAAAAUAUAGCAGAAAGAAUAAAGGGAUUUAAACCUGGAGUUGUUGGCUGUCCUCCUGAGCUGCAAAAAGAAAAUACAGAUAAAAGUAGAAAAGAAAGGAAAAUACACAAGUUCCAGUCUGAGGCCAAUAUUUCUGUCUCUUCUCCUUUGAUCCUUGAAAUCACCACCAGUUAAGCCAAGAAAUCUUUCUCCAACCCUAUUUCCCCCUUUAUAUUAGUCUGUUGCAUUUCUAUUUCUUUCAUUGAAAGUUGUCAGUACUUUUACUAUGUGAUGUUAAACAUGAAGUCUUAGCAUGGCCAUCUCUAACACAGGGGAGCAAUGCCUACCUCACAUCUAUUUAUUUUCAUGAGGAUUGAAUAAGGCAACAUACGUAAAGUGUCUAAUGCAAAUCCUCAACCACUACUGCUCAAUGAAUGGUAGUGUUCUUCCUCUUUCUUAACUUUCCUUUGAUUCUUAUUCCUGUAGCCAAUCCCUUCCUAAGGCUGUGAACUCUUGUGUAGAGGUGAAUACUUCAGUCUGAGCCCUGAUAUUGCCCAUUUGAUUUCAGAAUUGCAAUUCCCAGAAACAGUGACUGGGUGAGCAUUAGAAAAUGAUGUUCCCUAUUGCAUAGGCACAAAAAACGUGACCAAAAGUUGGAAGCUAUGAAAAUUAGGAAAAGAGCAGCCCUCUGGGCUAAUAAAGUCUUGUGGGGACAGAAUGAAGAAGCCUAAGACCUACUGGAUUUCAUUUUAGCUCACCUCAAGGCAGGAUACAGCCAUUCAUCAUGCCCAGCAUGGGUUGCCAUCUCCUUAGCCCUUUUCUUUUCUUUUUUUUUUUUUUUUUUGAGACAGUUUCACUUUGUCACCCAGGUUGGAGUGCAGUGGCACCAUCUCAGCUCACUGCAACCUCUGCCUCCCAGGUUCAAGCAAUUCUCAUGCCUCAGCCUCCUGAGUAGCUGGGAUUACAGGCACCCGCCACCAAACCCAGCUGAUUUUUUGUAUUUUAGUAGAGACCAGGUUUCACCAUGUUGCCCAGGCUGGUCUCGAACUUCUGAGCUCAGACAAUAUGCUCGUCUCAGCCUCCCAAAGUGCUAGGAUUACAGGCAUGAGCUACAGCACCCAGCCAGGCCUUUUCUCAUCUUAGAUUGGGGAACUAAAUAGGAGCAAAGAUUCAGUCCACCUACUUCUAUGAACUGCAUUACAAUUUCUAAGCUACCAAUUCUGCUUUUUUCUUCCAUUUACAUGCAUCCUUUCCAUGUACUCACACUGUCUCCGGGGGCUCUUUCAAAAGGCUUGGCUGUGAAGGUGAAGAUAAGUACAUUAUAUCCUUUGUCAAUUAACAUUCAUUCUCAACAACCUGCAAUCUGGCUUCUGUCCCCAGUCACAUGUUCUUCUAAAUAAAAGUGCAAUAAAGUUUAUGAAUAAAUGAAUAGAAAUAGAGAGAUGUAGACCUUUCUCCUUUCACUCAGAGAGAACCAUUAAAAAUGCUAGAGAAAGAGAACCCAUGCUAAUCUUUAAAUCAUUGUAGCAUUUGAAACUAAUGACCACUGCCUGUUUUUUGAAACCCUCUUACCUCCAUAGCUUCCAGGUCAUUACUUUGUCCUGUUUUUCUGAGUUCCCCCCACGCCUCUUUUUUUUAAUUUUUACUGAUAAAUUUUUUUUGACCUUUUUGUCUCUUAAAUAUUGGGCUUCAGACUUUGGUCCUUAUCCUUCAUUUUUUCUCACAAGGUAAUCUCCUCUUUUCCUGAGCAAUCAGGGCCCAUCUGAUCUGCUGAUGAGUCCCAGGUCUAUUAUUUCAGCCUAAAUUUCUGUGCCAAGCUCUAGACACUUAUUCCCUACCACUUACAGAGCAUUUUUAACUAAAUGAAUUCGGAGGCACCUUAAACUUGAUAAGGCACCAAGCAUAGGUCAUCGGCUAUUGUCCAUAUGCCCAGAAUCCCAAACUGGGAAGCUUGGGAGUCAUCCUAGGAUAUGGGGGGUGUAAGGAGUCACCUAAUCAUGCUUUCUCAAUGACUCUGUUCCUCUCCAUACUCGUUGCAAUUACCUUAUUUCUGACCAUUAGCAUCUGCCACCCUUAAAGACUCAAAAAAGGAAUUGUCUCAUCCAGGCAGACUUCCCUGACCACCCUGGCUGAGCUAGGCUGGAUUAAGCACACCUCCAAGUGUCCCCAUAAUAACCCACCAUUCCCCUAUGGUCUCUGUCAUAAAAAUGAGACAGUACAAUAGAGGCCGUGACCACCAACCCAACUAAUGCUGCUGUGUCAGCUGUUUAGAGCAGGGAGAUGUCAUUGCCAUCUUUGUUUCUAAUACUAAGGGCUAGCACAUACAUGCUUGAUAAUAUGUUAAAUUGAAACCUCAUUGCGCAGAAGGAAAACAAUCCAGGCUGUUGAAACAGGCACUUUGAACCACCCCUUAAGCCAACACCAACUAUGGAAUCUUACUACUAUUCCUGCACCCCAUAAGGGAGAACUUCCAUGACCAAGCAGGUUCCAUACCUGCCUAUCAACUAUGUCCAGAGAUUUUAUUUGUUUUUAUUCCUUCCCUCAUUCCCCAGUUUUUUCCUCAUUUUCAUUCCAUCUCUCACUCUCCAAUACACAGUGGUUUCUUUUUCUCCUUCCCUUUUAAACUAAACUGUACAUUAUUGUUGUUGUUCAAAUAAGUCUAAGUGCCUUGAGACUUGCCCUCACCUAUUUAGCCAUACAAUUCCCCACCUUAGCAGAUCUUCUCAACCUUGGUGCUCAUUGAGCAAGUCCUGCCCCCGGAGAUACUGAGUUAAUGGGUCUGAAUGCACAUUGGAAUUCUUUUUAAAGCCCUCUGGCUCCAGGUGAAUAUAAGAGCCAGCCAGAUGAGAACCAACCAUCAUCUAGCCUCUCUGUGAUCAGCAUGUAGUCCCCAGACCAUCAACAGCAGCGUCACCUGGGAGCACAUUAGAUAUGCAAAGUCUCAGGUGACCUACUGCUUCCUGCAUUGGAGCCAGACCCCCAGGGUCCCACCGUCCCCUGUGAUUGGAUGGAGUGUCUCGCAUUUUACAUUGUCCCUGAGAGGAGAGGAGCCCUUUGGAAAAGUCUGAAAAGCUAACAUUGAACUGGGACAUAACAGCAGCCUUGGGACAUCAGAGCCUGCUUGUGCCUGCUCUGCACUAUUGGAUGUUUUUAUGUGUACUACAUUAAGAGCUUCCAUCUCUCUGGACAAAGGGGAGAAGCGCUUCCGUGGUGGGUGGCCCCAAUUAAACCCUGUGCCUAGUGAGUUUCCGCCCAGGCUGACUGGAAGUCAGCCAGGGCUGAUUAGAGAGCAGGUACCUCAAAUGGCCCAGCACGGCCAUAAUGAAAUAGUCCUGGAAAAUUGCUAAAUGACAUAGAGGAAAAUCAUUACAAUUGAAAUGCCUCCCUCCCCCUUACCCUCUAUAACAUAAAGAAACACUUCAGAAUUGCCUAAAUAUUGCUUUGCCCAGUGAGUUAACUGUAUAGUAAAUGAAAGAUCUCUCACAAACACACAGCUUUGAGCAUACUGCUUUAAUUAUGAAAUGUUUAUUUUGUUUAAAAGCACAUAAAGAAGACAAAAACAGAAUAAAGAGGAAACAAAAGCAACUUUCCCCUUCUCCACCCCUAAAAAACAAAUAAAUUGUCACAUACACUAUAGAAUCGACUAGUAGGCUUAAUAUGGAAGGAUUUUAGAUAUUUCUUCACUUAAAAUAGUAAUAAGUAUUUGCUUUUUAUGACAAAAUCAAUACAAGCUCUUCCUGAAAACAUUGAAAAACACAGAAAAGUAUAAUGAGAGACUAAGAAUGGCUCAGGUGCUGUGGCUCAUGCCUGUAAUCCUACCACUGUGGGAGGCCAAGGCAGGAGGAUCCCUUGAGCCCAGGAGUUUGAGACCAGCCUGGGCAGCAUAGUGAGACCCUGUCUCUUUUUUUAAAUUGAAAUGGAGUUUCACUCUUGUUGCCCAGGAUGGAGUGCAAUGGCGCAAUCUUGGCUCAGUGCAACCUCCAUCUCUCGGGUUCAAGCAAUUCUCCUGCCUCAGUCUCCCGAGUAGCUAGGAUUAGAGGCAUGCACCACCAUGCCCAGCUAAUUUUGUAUUUUUAGUAGAGACAGGAUUUCUCCAUGUUGGUCAGGCUGGUCUGGAACUCCCGACCUCAGGUGAUCUGCCCACCUCGGCCUCCUAAAGUGCUGGGAUUAUAGGAGUGAGCCACCGCACCCAGCCUCUGUCUCUUAAAAAAAAAAAAAAGUAACUCCGCAGCCAUUCAUCCACCCCUCAGAAAUAACCAGAGUGAACAUGAUGUGGUAUAUCUUCCUUCUGUAAACACUGUUUUACAUAGUUGAGAAUGCAUUGUGUAUACUUUUGUGUUCUACCUUGACUAGUACUAUAUAUGGAAUAUGUUGCAGAUGUUAAGAUUCCCUGAACAAUUAUCAUUAAUGGCUGGGACAUAAUCCAUUAAAGGAGUGUAACGUAAUGCACUUAGCAAAAAUUUGGAUGUCCCUUUGUCAUGGGGCUACUAAGCUAUGAUAAGCAGUAGCAACAUCUGCACCAUAUAAUGGGGAAAGGAAAUGGGGACUCAUGUUCCAUAGGGUCCCCAAUCCUUCAAUCCUCCACCAACACCGUAAGGGGGUUAUUACUCAUCCACUUUAAUAGAUAAGGAAACUGGGGCUCACUGAUAGGUGAGAUCACUGGCUGAGGUCACAGAGCAAGGAGGCAGAGCCAGGAUGAUGACCUAAGUCUGUCAGAUUCUUUUUUCAUCUGUAUUCCUCAUCCAUGUGUAGACACAGAACAGUGAAGUCAAAAGAGCAUGGUUUUGGAGUCCAGGUAUGAUUUGUCUUAUACCUUGCAAAUGUUAGGUGCCCGAUAAAUACCUGUUGCCUAAAUGCUUUUUAUUCUAAUUAAAAUUUUAUGCAUGCUAUCACUCACAGACCUGGUGAUUCCACCUGCUAAAUGUUACAUUUGGAAGGCCUUAUCUUUUCACAAGCACUACAAUUUAGAAUUCAGCUUUACAUAUGAAGGGUAUCUUAACUUUCAUUGAUAAUGUAGAACCAGGAAAAUAGAAGCAAGACAAGGCAUGACUAUAUCUCAGAAAGUUCCAUAGUAGGGGAGAGAGACCCUAGUUCGGUUUAGAAAUGAAGAGUAGUGAUAACGAUUAAACAUACUCUCAUUCAUUGAUUGCUUCCCUGGAAUGGGGCCAAAUUUUACAUUACCAUUUAAGGAAAAUAAGCAUCAAAUUAGUUUUCUAAUCUGGAAAAUGAAAGCAAGACUGUCUAAUGUGCAAAGAAGUAAUUACCAGCUGACAUAAUUUGGAUAAGAGGCAAUGGUAGAAUAUGAAACUAGAUCUGAGUCUGUUGUAUUCUAGAAACACAUGCUAGGUUCAUCUCCCCGUUCUUUAUUGGGUAGCCUGAGGCAUUGGACCAGUGGGUGUGAACCACCCCCAGUCAUGCCAGCAGUCAUUUCAGGUUUCUAGGUGCUCUAAUGUAGGAAGAGAAGCCCCUUGUACUCCAGGAAACUGCCAACAGAUGUCUGUAUAGCCAUCCCUGAAGGCUUGACCAGAAAACACCUCAGUGGAAAUGGGUUUGGAAGUCAUCCCUAAUAGUCAGAAUUACAUGAAAAAAGUACCUUCACAGUUCACAUGGGCUAUCCCCGUUGCCAGUCACAAGCCUGACCCAAAAUGGCAUGUAUAUGCUUAAAUUCUAGGGAAAAGGAGUUAAAGGAAGCAGAAAUCAAGACAUGCCAGCGGGAGGAGAAAAUUUACGAAGGAAAAAAAACCUUAGAGAGCAAAAAUCAAAGCCAACAACCAUCAAAGGGAUGUAACACAAUGUAAAAUAAACCAUUAAUAGUAUGUGAAAAGGUAGCAUGGAGUAAUAUAAGUUGGUAUGUAUUAAAUUGGAAUAGCUAACUCCUUUGACCCUUACAACAGCCCUCUGAGACAGGUAAUAUAAAUAUGUAAAUGAUUGUUGAUAAACUCCAGGCUAGAGCACAAAAUGCAGUCUCCUUGAAUCUCAUGUUUUGUUUCUUUUUUUGUUUGUUUGUUUUUUAAGACAGGGUCUCACUCCAGUUGCCCAGGCUGGAGUGUGGUAUGCAAUCUUGGCUCACUGCGGCCUGAACCUCCAAGGUUUAGACGAUUCUCCCAUCUCAGCUGAAUCUUUUUUUUUUUUUUUAAUCCUUCUAUAUAAGCCAGAGGACAGCUGAGUUCAUCCUGUCCCUUGAAAUGUGAACACCAUCA
rnacentral:lncRNA from 1 species